GAUGAACGCUAGCGGCAGGCUUAAUACACGCAAGUCGAGGGGCAGCAUGAGUGUAGCAAUACAUUUGAUGGCGACCGGCAAACGGGUGCGGAACACGUACAGAACCUUCCUUCGAGCGGGGAAUAGCCCAGAGAAAUUUGGAGUAAUACCCCAUUGUAUUACGGUGUGGCAUCACUUUGUAAUUAAAGAUUUAUCACUUGAAGAUGGCUGUGCGGCUGAUUAGGUAGUUGGCGGGGUAAUGGCCCACCAAGCCUGCGAUCAGUAACUGGUGUGAGAGCACGACAGGUGACACGGGCACUGAGACCCGGGCCCGGCUACUACGGGAGGCAGCAGUAAGGAAGAUUAGUCAAUAGACGGGAGUCUGAACCAGCCAUGCCGCGUGGGAGAUGAAGAUCCUCUGGAUUGUAAACUUCUUUUAUAUGGGACGAAAAAAGGCUUUUCUAAGUCGUCUGACGGUACCAUAUGAAUAAGCACCGGCUAACUCCGUGCCAGCCGCCGCCGUAA
rnacentral:rRNA from 1 species